ensembl:lncRNA
UAAGAGGAUAUUUUCCAUCUCUUUGUCCCUGUAAAACAGACCUUCUUGCAGAACUAGUGAAUGGUUCUAACUGUCCAGGUUCUCAUCUGUGUCUGCAGCUAGUAAGUGUAUGCUGGGCGGCUAUGGAUAAGUUUACAUGGUAAGUAUUAGUAUUAAUUUGGGGAAGAUUUUAAUGAUUUGGAUGACAAAUUCAAAAGAACAAAUCUUUGAGUAUUUUAAGAAAUAGAGCUACUCCAGAUUCAAGACGUUAUUCAAAAUUUCCUUUCAGUAUGUAUUCAAAAUGGAACUCUUUGAUUCCUUCCCGAAGUGCUUAAGAGGGAUUGUCAUGGUGGAUAACCUGUUUUUUCUCCAAGUGACUGAAAUGCAAACAUUAGGUUGCAUAACCUAUUUUUACUUACUGAAAGAAAUUGAAUAACUGUUGGUCUGUUGUUGUUUUUCCAGGCUUCUGCAAAGGAGGGAAAUCCAAGGAAGAAAAAUGUUUGGAGCCCAUGGGCUCCGGGUGUACUCUGAGAAGCUUUGUAUGCAUAUUCUCUCGCUGACCUGCUUUCCAGCCUGCUCCCAGCAUGGAGAUGUUUGGGAAGAUGUAUAUGAAGCUGACCUAAGGAUGUCUACCAAUGGGAAAGCAAGUGCUCACAGAGGAAGCCUGGCUGAAGCAGCAAUGAGUUUUCUGAUGUGCCCUGAAUCAAUUGGUUUCAGCAUUCUCUCAGUAAUUUGGACACCUCGGUGCUGUACAGAAGGCCUGUGAUGUAAUACACCUCAAAUUUGUUAUACUUCACUGGCUCUGCUUCUGGGGAACAGAUAAAAGAACGAGGCAAACCUUGAUGUGAGGAUAUAUCCAAAACAUGGAACUUCGACUCUUGGUGUGAUUUAUAACAGGUCACAGGAGGACCUGCAGUUCAGGUACAGCUGACAUGUCAGAGCCUACAGUUACUUUAGGAAGCACAAAUUCAUCUGAAAUGCUGUGUCAGAGCAUCCUGCUGAGUUCCCUCUCCUGCACAGAAGCUCUACAACAGGCACACUGCGUUGGAAGCGCCUGUCUUGGGAAAGCAGCCACUGCUACACUAACAUCUCACGUAGUGCUCUGCACUCUUGUUUUAGGAGGAACUGCAUUUGAUCCUGUAAAACAAACGGUCUCCUAAGAGCAUAUUCUGCUGGCAUUGAAGCACAGACAGCAUUCUCCUGUCUGCACUGCCAGGAUCACUCUGCUUGCAGCACACAGAGCCGGUAGAGCCAGGGAAGGAGCCUGGCUGAGCGAGGUGCACCAAGGCCAAAUGCCAUCAGGGCAGAGUGGAGCUGGGGGUCCAUUCCUUGUGCUGUUGGUGUGAAUAGGGCUGCAUGGCCGCUGCUCCCUCCGCUCCAAUAAUAAAGCCUGUUAUGGGAAGGCAGGGAGGGAUCUUUUGGCCAGAUCAGAAGCAUCCACUUUGUCAAACAGCCUCAUGCUAGCUGGCUUAAUGGAAAUUAGCUGUGGCACUGCAGGACAGGAGAAGAUGCCUUUUCAUGAAUAAAUGAAAUGCAUGAGCGAUGCUUCCUUAAAAAAAAGGAUAAAAAUAGAAUCUGAAAUGUGAAGUCUGCAGCAUGCAGGCACGGGAGGUGUGUCCUGACAAAGCUAACAGAGUGCAGUUCUGACAUGGACUGCUUGCACAGGCUUGCCUGGG